CCUCUUGGGGCGUCUGCAUGACAACUGCUUUGUGACACCGCUGCACACCUAGCUCUUGGAGUUCUGCUUGGCAGGAGAAAACAACCCUGGUAAAGGAGCUGUGCACAAGCACCAGCCGCUCUUGGCCACCGGGGCACAGGAAGCCCCUUGGAAAGUCAGCUCUGCCUUGCCCUGAGGAGCACCCACUGUGCAGAUGAAAGGACUUUCGCUUCCACCACCACUUCCUCCCAAGAAAGCAAGAACCGGGCCUUAGACUUCUGACUUCUUUUCAGAAUAACAACAAGACAGCUUUUGAUUUUUUCCAGCACGUUGAAUGCAGUGACCUAUAAAGUAAAACACCGGCUGGCAAACUCUUCAACCCAAGA